rnacentral:rRNA from 1 species
CCUACGGGGGGCUGCAGUGAGGAAUAUUGGACAAUGGGCGCAAGCCUGAUCCAGCGACGCCGCGUGAGUGAUGAAGGCCUUUGGGUCGUAAAGCUCUGUCAGCAGGGAAGAACGGCCGUGUGGUUAAUACCCAUGCGGAUUGACGGUACCUGCAGAGGAAGCACCGGCUAACUCCGUGCCAGCAGCCGCGGUANUACGGAGGGUGCGAGCGUUAAUCGGAAUUACUGGGCGUAAAGGGCGCGUAGGCGGCUUAUCAAGUUAGGUGUGAAAGCCCACGGCUUAACCGUGUGAAGUGCAUCUGAAACUGGUAGGCUUGAGUAUCGGAGAGGAAAGUGGAAUUCCACGUGUAGCAGUGAAAUGCGUAGAGAUGUGGAGGAACACCGAUGGCGAAGGCAGCCCCCUGGGCUAACACUGACGCUCAGGCACGAAAGCGUGGGGAGCAAACAGGAUUAGAUACCCCAGUANUC